rnacentral:rRNA from 1 species
GACGAACGCUGGCGGCGUGCUUAAUACAUGCAAGUCGAGCGAGGUUACUGUUUUGGAUCCCUUCGGGGUGAAGAAGCUUUAACCUAGCGGCGGACGGGUGAGUAACGCGUGGGUAACCUACCCCAAAGUCCGGGAUAACAGCGGGAAACCGCUGCUAAUACCGGAUGUCUUUACCUUGGGGCAUCUUGAGGUAAAGAAAGGCAACGCUUUGGGAUGGGCCCGCGUCCCAUUAGCUAGUUGGUGAGGUAACGGCUCACCAAGGCGACGAUGGGUAGCCGGCCUGAGAGGGUGGACGGCCACACUGGGACUGAGACACGGCCCAGACUCCUACGGGAGGCAGCAGUAGGGAAUAUUGCGCAAUGGACGGAAGUCUGACGCAGCGACGCCGCGUGAGCGAUGAAGGUCUUCGGAUCGUAAAGCUCUGUCCUUGGGGAAGAAGGUCUUCGGACUUGACGGUACCCAAGAAGAAAGCCCCGGCUAACUACGUGCCAGCAGCCGCGGUAAUACGUAGGGGGCGAAGCCGUUGNCCGGAAUUACUGG